GCCAGAUGGACUCUGUGUCCCCAGUCCCUGAGUUAGCUGACCGCCAGGGCAGGGAGGCCAUGUUGCUCCACACUUUUUUGAAGAAGGCCUUACCUUGAUUCCAUAUGUUUCAGAAUUAGCUGUGUCAUCUACAAGAGAAGGCCAAAGGUACACAUUUUACAAAUGAAGGAAGAGGCAACCCCAUGGACUGAAAUGUUCUCUGAAGUAGAAUUGACCGCAAUCAGGCCUGGCAGGCCUGGAGCAGAUCCUGACUGCAGCAGAUGAAAAACAGAACAAGACAAUUACAAGACCACGACAUGGCCUCUCAACUAAGUGUGGUUCGAUUUCAAAGAAUCCUGCUUCUACAGUGGAUGGGCACAAUUCUCCUGAGUUGCCAAAUUUCAAGUUACUACAUGUUAAUGCAUUUCGCACAUAUAUUGAUCACAUACCUUGACUACGGAGGUGAUGUUACAAUGGAUGAGGCUCUGUAAUAAAUAAUCACAACCACACAUCAGCCGGAUGAUUAGAGAAAUUCUCCUGGAAAGUAGUUGGUGCUAAAGAACCAUGAAGUGGGCAAAAGUGCAUGUCUGAACGGUUUCAUCACUCACCCUGCAAAUUAGGCUCAUAACUGCCUUCCAGCAAGCAUGUACUAGCAUCAAGAAACAUCUGACUCCCAUUCUGUCAUUCUGUACCCACGUCAUCUUGACUAGACAUCAAUUAAGAGUUUCCUGGAAAACUCGGAACUAUAUUCCUGGAGGAAUAUAAAUACGGUUUUUCAAAGGGAGCUACUCCAUUCUCAGCUGGAGGAAGAGGGGUUAGCCUAUGUGAGUCCAGGAGAACAGAAAGACAAAUGGUUGUAUAAUAUAAGGUAGAGGUUCUGGGCUAUGGAGGGCAGGUAAAGAAACCACUAGAAUGACCAAAGAUAAAGAGAAAGGACAAGAGGACGGACACAGACACUAG